CUCAGGUCUGUGGUUGAAAGUCGAUGCCAGUUGCAGGCGAAACGAUCCACGUAAGCAGUAUAAUUACUGUGAGCACGGUGCAGCUUAGAAGUAAGUCCUGCCGCAAAAUGCGAGAGGGUUAGUAGUGGGGAGCUUAGGCUUAUGAGCGAAAUCUCCAGCAGGCGAGUGUGGGGGCGAAAACCAGGUCAGCUGGGU
rnacentral:ncRNA from 1 species